rnacentral:sRNA from 1 species
GUUUCAAUUCCUCAUAGGCAGGCUAUCGGCGGUGCGGCAUCAGGAAAGCCUACGUAGGCAUCGGUGG